GGGUUUAAGACGCAGGUACUUCCGGCCUAAUCGCGCUCCUCUAUACGCAGCUACGCCACCUUCGCUAGGUUUUGGUAAAGAGAAGGAACCUACAAAGAAGAAGAAGAAGAAGAAGAAGAAGAAGAAGACGAUGACAUUGAUGAAUAGGUCGCCCUACGUCUCUCUCUUGUCCAAAGCCCUUGCCUUCGUCCCUUGCUGUCGUCCGGCCGAUGCUGACCUUUUUCUCGCAACCCAUUCUUACUCCGCCGCCUCCGGUGCUCCACGGAGCAGCCUUAUGGCUGAAUACCUGGUCAGCUCCUGUGGCUUUGAUCCUGAUCAGGCGGCCAAAGCCUCGAAGCUCCUUGGCCGCGUCGAAUCCCGCCACCAGCCUGACUCCGUCCUUGGCUUAUUUAAAAGCUACGGUUUUGACAACACCCAGGUGAAAAAGGUCAUAUCUGCAAACCCCCGGUGGCUUCUCCUCGACGUGGAGAAGACCCUGGCCCCAAAGUUCCGAGCUUUGCAGGAUCUGGGCUUCUCCUGCUCCGACAUCACCCACCUCGUCAUAUCGAAUAACUACGCCAUCAGCUACAAAUCCCAGACCAUCUUGUCCAAGAUCCAAUUAUUGCAAGGCCUCCUCGGGUCCAACGACUUACUGGUGAAGGUAUGCACGAGACACAGGUGGUUUCUCGGGUAUAGCAUCGAGAAGAGGAUCCAGCCUAACAUUGAAAUUCUAAGGGAUUGCGGGAUCACGGAUCAGAAGCUCUCAGUGAUCCUACGGUACCGCCCCUUCCUCAUAACUGGGAAUGCUGAAACCCUGAAGGCGUUAAUCAGUCGUGUCGAGGGUUUGGGAGUACCUCGCACCUCAGGGAUGUUCCUCGCGGCCGUGAGUAUGCUCCAGACGGUCUCCGAGAAGAACUUCAAGGCUCGCUCGGAGUUCUUCAAGGGCUUCGGGUGGUCCGAGGAUGAUUUCCUUGCUGCAUUCAGAAAGGCUCCUACGCUUCUGGGAUUAUCGUUAAAGAGUUUGCAGAGGAAGAUAGAGUUCUUGGUAAAUGAAGCCGGAUGUGCUCCAUCUUAUCUUGCACUUCGGCCAGAUUUUUUGUUGAUGAGUUUGGAGAAAAGGUUGAUGCCAAGGCAUCGGAUUGUGACAGGCCUGAAGUCUAGGGGAGUUUGCAUCAGUAACCUUAGUAUAUUUUCAUACUUGAAAUAUUCAGAGAAACAAUUUCUGGAGAAGUUCGUCAACUGCUACAAGGAGUAUCCAGAACUCAUUGAGUUGUAUAAUGGAGCCCCCAAAAACAGAACUGCACUUUGAUCGUGGAAAUGCAUAAUGCAUAGCAUAAGCUUUUGCACCAGCAAGUUAUGUUUCCAGGUAUUCAUACAUUAUUGGCCUUGGUGAAUUAACAGCAGUUUCUCUGGCAGGUAGGCACUUGGUCAAAUUAAACUGAAGCACUGCUUACACUUGUUGAGUUAUCGGGAUCAAGAGAAGUUUUAGAUGACUUGCACCCUGACGCAUGUAGAGAUGUUUUCCUGACAAAGGCUUGACUCGUUAUCAGGGAAGAAUUAUACAUGUACUUUCCUUCCUCAGAACUAGUUGCUGGAUAGGGUUACUUUCUUUCAGUAGGAAAAGACUGAUGCUCUUUGCAAGGCUUGAUAAUUUUUAUUUAUGGGGGAUUUUGUCUCUAAAAGGACUGAGAUCCUUUCAACUUGUGGAACUGUAUAUGUUCUAGGUUUUUUAUGCGCUCUAAACUUGCUUGCUAAACAAGAAGAUCAAUUUAUUUUUUCUCGUUAUUAUCA